CCUACGGGAGGCAGCAGUGAGGAAUAUUGGUCAAUGGGCGUGAGCCUGAACCAGCCAAGUCGCGUGAGGGAAGACGGUCCUAUGGUUUGUAAACCUCUUUUGUCGGGGAGCAAAAGACGCCACGCGUGGCGUUCCGAGAGUACCCGAAGAAAAAGCAUCGGCUAACCCCGUUCCAGCAGCCGCGGUAAUAAGGAGGAUGCGAGCGUUAUCCGGAUUUAUUGGGUUUAAGGGGUGCGCAGGCGGAAGAUCAAGUCAGCGGUAAAAUUGAGGGGCUCAACCUCGGCGCGCCGUUGAAACUGGGUGUCUUGAGUUGGAGAGAAGUAUGCGGAAUGCGUGGUGUAGCGGUGAAAUGCAUAGAUAUCACGCAGAACUCCGAUUGCGAAGGCAGCAUACCGGCGCUCAACUGACGCUCAGGCACGAAAGUGUGGGUAUCGAACAGGAUUAGAUACCCGUGUAGUC
rnacentral:rRNA from 1 species